AGAGUUUGAUCCUGGCUCAGAUUGAACGCUGGCGGCAGGCCUAACACAUGCAAGUCGAGCGGUAGAGAGAAGCUUGCUUUUCUUGAGAGCGGCGGGCGGGUGAGUAAUGCCUAGGAAUCUGCCUGGUAGUGGGGGAUAACGUUCGGAAACGGACGCUAAUACCGCAUACGUCCUACGGGAGAAAGCAGGGGACCUUCGGGCCUUGCGCUAUCAGAUGAGCCUAGGUCGGAUUAGCUAGUUGGUGAGGUAAUGGCUCACCAAGGCGACGAUCCGUAACUGGUCUGAGAGGAUGAUCAGUCACACUGGAACUGAGACACGGUCCAGACUCCUACGGGAGGCAGCAGUGGGGAAUAUUGGACAAUGGGCGAAAGCCUGAUCCAGCCAUGCCGCGUGUGUGAAGAAGGUCUUCGGAUUGUAAAGCACUUUAAGUUGGGAGGAAGGGCAGUAAAUUAAUACUUUGCUGUUUUGACGUUACCGACAGAAUAAGCACCGGCUAACUCUGUGCCAGCAGCCGCGGUAAUACAGAGGGUGCAAGCGUUAAUCGGAAUUACUGGGCGUAAAGCGCGCGUAGGUGGUUUGUUAAGUUGGAUGUGAAAUCCCCGGGCUCAACCUGGGAACUGCAUUCAAAACUGACUGACUAGAGUAUGGUAGAGGGUGGUGGAAUUUCCUGUGUAGCGGUGAAAUGCGUAGAUAUAGGAAGGAACACCAGUGGCGAAGGCGACCACCUGGACUAAUACUGACACUGAGGUGCGAAAGCGUGAGGAGCAAACAGGAUUAGAUACCCUGGUAGUCCACGCCGUAAACGAUGUCAACUAGCCGUUGGAAGCCUUGAGCUUUUAGUGGCGCAGCUAACGCAUUAAGUUGACCGCCUGGGGAGUACGGCCGCAAGGUUAAAACUCAAAUGAAUUGACGGGGGCCCGCACAAGCGGUGGAGCAUGUGGUUUAAUUCGAAGCAACGCGAAGAACCUUACCAGGCCUUGACAUCCAAUGAACUUUCUAGAGAUAGAUUGGUGCCUUCGGGAACAUUGAGACAGGUGCUGCAUGGCUGUCGUCAGCUCGUGUCGUGAGAUGUUGGGUUAAGUCCCGUAACGAGCGCAACCCUUGUCCUUAGUUACCAGCACGUCAUGGUGGGCACUCUAAGGAGACUGCCGGUGACAAACCGGAGGAAGGUGGGGAUGACGUCAAGUCAUCAUGGCCCUUACGGCCUGGGCUACACACGUGCUACAAUGGUCGGUACAGAGGGUUGCCAAGCCGCGAGGUGGAGCUAAUCCCACAAAACCGAUCGUAGUCCGGAUCGCAGUCUGCAACUCGACUGCGUGAAGUCGGAAUCGCUAGUAAUCGCGAAUCAGAAUGUCGCGGUGAAUACGUUCCCGGGCCUUG
rnacentral:rRNA from 1 species